CUCUCCGACCACUUCUCCUCCAUGGAGCGCGACCUCCAGCUCAGGUCCGAGUCUCUCCGAUCCAAGCGCCAGUCCCUCGACCUCUCCACCCAGAGCUCCCUCGCCUCCCUCCACCGCCGCGAGCUCUCCAUCGACGGCGCCGUCGACCUCGCCCUCGCCAAGGUCGAGGAGCGCUGCGACGCAGCUCUCCUCGCGCUCUCCUCCCCCGCUUCCCCCGUCGACAACAACAACGACACCAACGAUCUCCCCGGCAAGCUCAGAUCUUUCUGCACCAGGAUGGACUCCGAC
rnacentral:lncRNA from 1 species